rnacentral:lncRNA from 1 species
CUUGUAUAUAAAUAAAACAAUUGAUUGACGUUAACAAUAGUAUGACGUUAACAAAUACAAGGGAGACUACUAAUGUCAUAAUGUCAUUUUAAGACUUUAAAAUGUUACGUUAAAAUUAGAAUAUCAUUUAUCAUUUAAUCCCGGGUUGAGAAUGUUUAUGAAUAAUUCUUCCUUCUUCCUCCGGAGAAAAUCAUUUUGACGAUUGACCAUAUACAAUGGAAAUAUUUUAAAUCGUCCAUUAGAACAACGAUGAAAAUGGUCGUUUGCCCUGAUGAGUGUUAAAUCUUCAUGGUUGGUUUGCUGUCUAUGUAAAGUCAUUCUAGUCCGCAGUUCAUUUUUUGUCUCUCCAACAUAGAAUUCCUCACAAUUUGAACAUAUGAGAGAAUAGAUGAGGUUUGAACUUUUACAAGAUAUUUUGCUUAACCAUGUUGUUAACAGUAAAAUGCUUUCCAUUUUUGAAAUAAAUUGAACUUUCUUCUAUUAGAUUUGGACAAGUCAUACAUCGUUUAUCGGUACAUUUUUU